GGUGGAAAUGAAAGUCUUCAGACAUUUUCAUGUCUUGAGCCUCAGCAACAACAAAAAAAUAACACUCAUCUUCAGUCAGAACUAAGAAAAUAAGCCUCAUCUCAGCUUGCCAAUUGCUUUGGGGAAGCUUUGCAUCACUGUAGUGAAAGUGCUUUGCCUUACACCAAGAUACUUAUCCACGUCUGGAUAAGAACGGCCACCUCUGGUCACAAAUUGACUGCAGUAUGUUGCUCACUGUUUAUAGGUUGGCCAUUCUAAUCAGAGCCAUAGGCACCAGUCCAUCUCUCAGCUCUCUGCAAGCAGGAGCAGUGGGUUGCUCUGCUACUUCGGCAUUGUGACACCACUCUUUGAGACUUCAUCACCAGCACAAUAUGACACCAGGAGUACUGUAGCAUCUGCUGGCUCCAGCCAGGACUGAGGUCACAGCUUCCUGAAUCCACCACCUCCCUGAUGAUCCUGACAUUUAUACAUGGCAGAUAAAAAGAAGAGACACAACAGCAAGACAGAUGGACACGGCUGUUUGCUACCAGAGAUACCUGAUGUUAUUCAGCAUCUCCAAGGAGAAGGAAUUUCAGUUUGGAGGAACAGUUAACUUGAUAUUGAAUCAGAGUUGCUAAUGGUUACAGAAGGCAUUUUCACAAUAAAAUGCUGUUCCUCUUCACU